UUAUUUCAGCUAAAAGUUUUCCUACCGUACUCUUUUGAUAAUAAUUGGCAAAAGAUUUCUCACCAAUAAAUUGACAACUGCGAUUCUCUGUCAGUUUUUGAUUGGCAUUGCGAUUGGGGGACUUUCGAUUGGGUUUGUCGUCUAGACAAACCACUUGAAGGAUAGCAAAAAAAA